AUACGGAGGGUGCAAGCGUUAUUCGGAAUCACUGGGCGUAAAGGGUGCGUAGGCGGUUUGAUAAGUCUGAUGUGAAAUCCUAUGGCUCAACCAUAGAACUGCAUUGGAAACUGUCAGACUAGAAUACUGAAGGGGCAGAUGGAAUUAGUGGUGUAGGGGUAAAAUCCGUAGAUAUCACUAGGAAUACCGAAAGCGAAAGCGAUCUGCUGGGAAGUUAUUGACGCUGAGGCACGAAAGCGUGGGGAGCAAACGGGAUUAGAAACCCGAGUAGUCC
rnacentral:rRNA from 1 species